rnacentral:other from 1 species
AAGUAAAUAACACAUCCUGCGGUGUACGUAACUUAUUUAUGUCUAAAACCGAUGUUAGUUAUACGGAAGCUCAAUAUUUAGUGACCAUCAUCAAGCCUUCCUUGUGGAGGAAGAUGUACGGUAACUGUGAGGGCAUCCACCUGCGAGUAGCGGGUUUUUGGACAUUUACGAGGAGCGGCACGUGCGGGGGUCUUAUUUCAACUA